UCCUACCGUACGUACUAGACGACGACUCCUACGGGAGGCAGCAGUGGGAAUCUUCCACAAUGGGCGCAAGCCUGAUGGAGCAACACCGCGUGAGUGAAGAAGGGUUUCGGCUCGUAAAGCUCUGUUGUUAAAGAAGAACACGUAUGAGAGUAACUGUUCAUACGUUGACGGUAUUUAACCAGAAAGUCACGGCUAACUACGUGCCAGCAGCCGCGGUAAUACGUAGGUGGCAAGCGUUAUCCGGAUUUAUUGGGCGUAAAGAGAGUGCAGGCGGUUUUCUAAGUCUGAUGUGAAAGCCUUCGGCUUAACCGGAGAAGUGCAUCGGAAACUGGAUAACUUGAGUGCAGAAGAGGGUAGUGGAACUCCAUGUGUAGCGGUGGAAUGCGUAGAUAUAUGGAAGAACACCAGUGGCGAAGGCGGCUACCUGGUCUGCAACUGACGCUGAGACUCGAAAGCAUGGGUAGCGAACAGGAUUAGAUACCCUGGUAG
rnacentral:rRNA from 1 species